rnacentral:lncRNA from 12 species
AUGAAUGGGCUUCUGGUUAUUGUGGUGGUCGGACUGGUAAAGGUUUUUGUUGUUGGAAACAGAAGGUCUGCAGAACAAUCAGAGCAACUCAACACUGAUCUACAGCAGACACAAGUUAUAGAGCCACAUCAGGACCAAUUACAUGUAAGAAUAUGUGAAAACAUCAUACUAAAAUUCAUUUCUGUCUUGAUAAUUAUUGAGGAUUCUUGCUGGUAUGUACAAUUGCAUUCUAUAAUGCUUCAUUUUGGGUUCAUUUUUUGAUUCAUGCUAAUAUUGCUCUUUCAGUAUGCCACGGUGGACUUUUCCAAGCUGCGUAGAAAUAUUCGGUCCAGCCAAAUCAACAGCACCUAUGCUGCUCUACAGCUGCCAAAGUCAUGAAUAUAUGAGUAAAACUGAUCUCAUACGUUUUUUUUUUUUUGAUGUUCAACUCUGAAACGCUGAGUCUGAAUCUGAUGAAAGUUAAGAAAAAAUACUACAAAAAUGUUAUCUAUUUUAAACUCGACUAGAUUUGAUAUGAUUAAUAUUAUAAUCUGCUUUCUAAUGGAAGUCAUGAGAUCACAAUUAUUUUACUGAGUUGACAGUUACAGUUUUGUAUUUCUUUCUAUGUAUAUGUCUGAGAGUACUCUAAUAAUGUGUAGAAGAUAUUACCUGGAAAAUAUUAAGCAGACACUUUUUUUUUGCUGCAUAAUUGUUGUGUUAAUGUUUGAUACAUAAAAAUAAGUGCCAGACUUUGUAUUAAGUGGGUCUUAUAAUAGAGUUGUUAUAUUUGCUAGUCAGUGGCAUCAAAAAUUUUGAAAAUCCUUGCUUCAGAUGAAAUGAGUGUUAAGAGCUUUUAUAUAUUGUAUGCUAGUUGUCUGCUUCUCUUUGAAAUAGCUGUCUUAAGCCAUAUCUGGUAGAGACUUUUGUAAGUGGUUGUAGAUAUAUAAUAUAUGUAUGAGAGGGGAUGGAUAGUGCACAAUAUUAAUUAUUUUUGUGAAACCUGUUGGUUGUGUUUUCAGUGCUGUUGGACUGAGAAGAGGUUCAUUUUUUAUCAGAUUCAAAAGACUGCUUAUUUUGUCAGCAUAGUUGAAUUGGUACCUGUAUAACUGAAUCUGAAUUUUUUUUUUUUUUUUUUUAAAUAAACGCUCAUAACGUGGUUAAGUCUGUUAGUGUGAAAUGUUGUGGCUUGUUAACCUACUUUUCUCGAACUCAGCACUCAACACUUUUUUUUUGUGCCUUUGUGUUUUAACAAAAUGUAAGUGCAAAGAGUUUGUCUGCUGGGAUUNNNAGAUAGAUAUAGAUAGAUAAAAUGUCUGUAUUUUUGGUAUUCAAAUGUUUUUUAGAUGGAAGAAUGUUAUAUUUUAACUUUGUGCUUAUUUUGUAGUUUUAUAUUGAUAUGACUGCCUUUAAUACCUUAUAUUAUUAUAUCAACAUUAAAUUAAGUUAGUUUCACAAUACAUAAAUAGUAUAUAAUUAUAAAAUAACAAUAUUUAAAACACAAGAGAUAACUUGGCCCGACCUGACAUUUAUGAGAAACACGGUUCAGCCUUAUAGUUAAAAUAUACGUUUAUUAUGAAGUUGCUUCAUUAUGAUAAUAAUGGUUAUGAAUUAUGAAUAAAUAUAUUUUUUUGUAUAUGUUUUUUUGUGUGUGAUUGAGUUUGUCAUUCUUAAUAUUCUGUGAGAAAGUUGUUUAGCUGGUUAUGCAUACUUUGCAAUUUGUUAAGUAAAAAAUAACACUAUGCAGUGUUAUUUUCAACUAAACUCAUGUGAAGUGCUAAACCAAAACCAGAAACAUGUUCCACUGGGUUUGGCACUUGACAACCAAUGACUCUCACCUUUGUCUACACUGGAGGUUUAACUGUGAAACAAGUGCAGUGUUUUUCCAACACCUUCAUGUUUAUGAAGUUCUCACAGUCGUCUUAACCUCAAAUGGAAAGUAUGUCUGCUUUGUUUGUUUUCUAGACCCAUACAAUGCCCAAUUAGCACUUGCCAAAUGUUAAUGUAAACCACGUUCACAACACUUAUGCUGAAGUUUUUUAUUGCUGUCAAUGUCCAACUGAAUCUGGCAGAUUCAUUUCACACAAAUCUAGGCUUAAUCUUGAAAUAAAUGAUUUGACAUAAAUUUCAUACUAGAAGUGCUAAAACAAAGACUUUUGGGGGAAAGCAAGUGAACUUAAUAUUAACUAUUAAAGGCCUAUUGCUGAAAACACAAACAAGUAGGGUGCUAUGAACAGUGAAAUUUCCCAUUGCUGCUGACCAAUCAAAUCUGAGGAACAAAACUAACAGUUGCUUAAUAUGUAUACAGUAUUUCAGUGUAAAAAAAAAUGUUUUUUAAUCAACUUAUAUUUCGGGUACAUUUUAAAACUCUGUUGCAAUGGUUCCUUGUUGUUCAAUCCACACCUGUUUUUUUUUUUUUUUUUAAAUGUAUUGUUUGUACAAAUACCCAUGUGUUUAUUAUUAGUUUCUUACAUCUCACAUUUAGCUUUCUAUAUUCUUGUUAACUGAACAAUCGAUCAUGAAACAAAAAAGUGACACAAAUUGUUGCUACUGGAAAUCCUGGUUCAACAAUAAUGUGUAAUACAUAAUAAUAUGUUACUGUUCCAUAAUCUGGGGACCAAAUUUUCAUUGUAGCAACCGGAAAAAUAAAAUUCCUGAAUUUGUUACUAUAGCAUAACUUUUGGAAUCCAAUAAUAACCAACUGCAGAACCACAGAGUCAUGUGUCACAGCAGUCUAAGGACAGAAGCACCAGGCAGCAGUCUCAACUCAGUGUUGGGGUGGAGAUUAUAGCAUCAUUAAAGUGAUAGUUUACCCAAAAUUUAAAAUUGUUAAUUUACUCACCCUGAGGCCAUCCAAGAUCUAGGUGAUUUUUUUCGUCAAUAGAAUAAUAAAGAAGGGUUAAGGCCCUGAUAUACUUCAAACGAAAUCGAAGAACGAACUGAUAUGACGUCAUUUCGAACAGAAUCGGGCCAAAACGAAGUUCGUUUUGAGUUCGUUUCGGCAGUUCGAAACAGCUCACCAAAGUGAACUUUCUGGGGGAGUUCGUUUUUAGCACCUUUGAGCUUCCAUUGUUCAGUGACGGUUACGCAAUUGGUGGGUGUGUUCUGAAACUCCAUCUUCUUUGACGUGCGAUUUUUUUUCCCGCUUCGUUUCUCAUUCAACAGAGGUCAGGCAAGAGAGAACAACAUCUCCGGCCUAGUCACUAGCAACAUGAAUACACUGGAGUCUUGAACAGCUGAGCUGCACAAAUAUAUCCGCACCUGUACGAUCGCUCGCGGAGAGACUUGAAAGAUUCAGAGAAAGCAUUUAAUUCCUAGAAAGAUAUUGCAACGACGCUUGGUGUCGACGACCUGGAGUUUUGCAAAAAGCGACGUAGAAAAACAUAUGAGAAAAGUUUUCCAAAGCCAUGAAAAGAAUGAAAGGAAAGAGUAAAGAUAUAAGGUAGCAAGUACCAAAUACAUGUGUUUCAAAUAAAUGUUAGACCAUACUGCUGCUGCUGUUAUUGUUCUUUCAAUAAGCAAAUUUAAAGGGUAUACAAUAAAUGAAAUUCCAAACGAACAUACAAUAACAAACCUUUGUUUUAUCAAAAGUAAAUCAUGACACCACAUAAAAAAGGUGUAACAAUUUAUCCAGUUUAAUAAAAUAAAUGAACACUAAUAAAAUAAAGCAACAAACUGACUCCAAUAUUUUCCACAUCAUGCUAAAGUUUUACAGACUAUGAGACAUUCACACUUCCCAUAAGGGACCGAUUAUGGUUCCUUUGUAUUGCAAACAUGAUACCUGACUCUGAACUACAGCUAAUCAUUAUUAUUUUGUCUAUAAUAUUCUGACCAUUGGUGCCCGUCUCACACUUGCCUACACUUUAUCAUUUCAUCACUGUUGUGUUUAGGGGAUACACGCGAGCGUCGCGAGUCAUGUUUGCAUUAAUCUACACCCCGCCUCCAGCAGCGCGGGGGUGUCGGAAUGUUCGAAAACAGUAUACCAUCGCUCAUCCUUUUCAAACUUCUUUAUGCCCCCAAACGAAGAACGAAAACGAACUUCGUUUGAAAAAUACCGGGGCCUUUAUGGCGAGGUGUUAAGAGGUCGCAACUUUUUAUCUCUGCUGCUAGUUUGUAAUUUAUCCUACAAUACCAACCAGAAUUGUAUUAAGUCAAGCAACACGAAUAUAGAGUACAGGGAAACAAAAUGUCAUGCAAAGGAGGCAAAAAAGGCAAAAAGAAAAAAAAAAGACAAGAAAUAAAGAUGGAUUCAGAGGGUGAAGAAAUUAGUGACGCCAUGGCAGCUGCUGAAGAUGGGCCUGACGAAAUAACUUUGGGCAGAAUUUACCAAGAUAUUAUGAAAGCCAUAAUGUCCUUUAAAAGUGGACUUUCUAAGAAAAUUGAUGAUGUGCAAACAACAAUUACAGAGGUAAGAAAGGAGAUACAAGGCAUAUAGCACAAGCGGAACAAAGUAUUUCUGAUGCUGAAGACAACAUUAAAAUAUCCAGAGUGUGCACAUUGGAAAAAUAUCAUCAAAACUUUUUCAAACAAAGUGGAAGAUUUGGAAUGCAGAAGCCGAUGGAACAACGUGAGACUGGCGGGUCUACCAGAGAAAGCAGAGGGCCAGGACACAGUUGCAUUUCUGGAGAAGUGGUUACCAGAGGCUAAGGAGUGGAAUUACAGGAGACCUUGGUAAUUGAGCGGUCUCACAGAAUCGGCAAAGGGAAUGUUCUUUAAAACAACGAGCAAGUCCGUUUUCAGCCAGAUCUCUCUGCUGGUAUACACAAGAUGCAGCUCGACUAUGAUGAUCAUGAAAAAAGCUGUCAGUUAUGGGGAUUCAUAAGCACAGAAUUAUAUCUGUCCUGCACAGCUCCUGCUGACACACUGGAAAAGAUUGAACACCUUUCAAACUCCAGCUGAAGUAGACAAAUUUGUCCAGUCUGUUUGAAGGAUGAAGGCAAACCUAGAAGAGACUAGGCAUACUCCAUUAGCAAAAUGUAACAGCAAUAUUGGUUAAUUCAUUUUAUAUACAGAGUUCUGGAAUGAAUCUCUGAUGGCGCAGUCCGAUAGGUCUAACUCAAUCUGACAUAAUGAGAUCAUUAUCACAUGGCACAGCUGAUUG